UUUUCUUCAUCAGACAUAAAGGCACUGGGUCCGUCUUGGCACACAUUGACGCUGAAACAAUAAUAUCCAGUGGCAGUUGUCCCAGCAGCAGCAGAGGCGACAAGAAUAGCGAACAGUGUCAGCCAGCAAGGACGCUUCGAGUCAAGAGAAUCCCUUCAGUUUGAGCCACGACUGAACUUCUUCGGGGGUGGACCCUUGGUUGAUGUAAACAUCUGGCGUUUUCACUAUCUCUAAAUGAGGUCUUUGGCGACGGAACGACUCCAGGACCAUCCUUAAUUCUUCAUUCAUCAAAUCUGCUGUAGACUUAGCUAUGGAUAAAAGAAGAGAGAUGUAAGAGAAAAGCAACAAAAACACAACUUAAACAAGACAAGAAGUUGACAAGUGCCAAUGCUCGGGCAAGACAAGCUGAAGUGUGACACUGAAGCAUGGAUAAGCUACACUUGACAUAAACGUGUGAAUCCAGUCACACAAUUUCCAGGAUGAGCGUGGAAAACAGCCGUAAAACAAUGACGCUGAAACACUCGAUUCUACAACUUACUUCGCGUUGAGCAUUUCGUAUUUCCUCUGCUCUUGUACGCUUAGCUUCUGAUGCAACCUCGGAGGCCAGCACAUUGGAGCGUUCGCGUGAGUCUUCUAUCAGCUCUGGUGCCCAUCCACUUGAAAACACUAAAAAAUAUAAUAGUACAGUAGUUUCCUCCAUCAUUUACAUACAACAUCCUUACAACAAUCAGAUUUAUCAUCACGUCACAGAUGGUGACAAACCUGGCUGGUAAGGACGAACAUCGUACUUCCACAUGUUACGUGGAAUGCACCAGGUAUCACCAAGACUCUGCCACAGUUCUGUCUCUCGUGAAGUUAAGCAGUUUGUUAGCAGGUCUAUGGCGUCUGCAGUUAGCAAUGGAGAUAAGACCUUGAACGAGAGAAAAAAAGACACAAGAAAAAGUAACCUGAUUUAAGAGGAAUUACCUGCGACGGCGUUCAAGUUCCCUGGUGGCAGCCGCUGUGUGCUCGAGGCGUCCGAUGAACCGCUCAAUGUCGUCAAAGCAGGAGUUGAGGAUGGCCACGUCCCGCUCGUACUUUUCACUGCUGGUCGACGACACAUCAUCGUUAUGGCUCACACUGGACCUCUCCGACCUCGGACCCCGCGCUUCUCCCCUAACCUCACUAUCCGCUGUAUAAUAAAAACACAUAUUAAAACCAUACUCUCACA